rnacentral:sRNA from 1 species
AUAAGAAGAAGAAAAAA